GUAGCAACUUGAGUAUUUAGAGUUUAACCACUGUUUGUUCAUAUCUCGUUGCCACACUGCUGCUUUUUCUUAUUAACUCCUAUGUUUGUAUCCGCCCAGACAUUUUUUGUCUGGGCUUUUUUUC
rnacentral:antisense_RNA from 1 species